GGUCUAAGUACAAAUUUGAUAGGGCUGAUGCGACUCUUCUGCUUAUUGUGUAGCAUUGCCGUAGGCGCCGGAACAACUGCGAGGAUGAAGCCAACUUGUGCUUUCGUGAGCCCGGAUGGAAUCUUUCAGAAGGAAGGAGGUGGCGGUGAAACUGCGGCUGAGGCCGUAGCCCUCGGAAGCGGAAGAAGCAGCGGCGCCACCGCCUCCAUUCGAAGCGUGAAGCAGAAACCCCCUUUUCGAAUCGCCAAGGAUGAUUCCAAGCCGCUGCUCCGCGACCCCAUUCUGAGGUCGGACCCCAUCGAGACCGAGCAAGCGGUUCUCCGUCUUCCUCCUCUUCCUCGUAGAGACUCUUGAUCCACUUUAACGGGUGUUCAGAUCCAUAUAGAUCCAACUAAAUCUGCAUGUGGAGGACUCUCCCCCUUACUUUGUCUACCGGAUAAAUCCAAAAGCGUUUGAGGUAGUGAGCAGUCGACUUUCAUAGGCCAUCCAUCAUUAUAAGGUUGUGUGUGCCUGAACUGUGGAUCUCUCAUCCCUCAACACAUGUCUUUUCCUCCAAAUUAAGUGUCCAUGCAUGUCCCAGUUGAGGAUUGAUAUGUGGUGCUCUAGAAAUCUACUUAGAACUAAAUUUGACC